rnacentral:rRNA from 1 species
AACGAACGCUGGCGGCAGGCUUAACACAUGCAAGUCGAACGCCCCGCAAGGGGAGCGGCAGACGGGUGAGUAACGCGUGGGGAUCUACCCAACCGUGCGGAAUAGCUCUGGGAAACUGGAAUUAAUACCGCAUACGCCCUACGGGGGAAAGAUUUAUCGGGGAUGGAUGAGCCCGCGUUGGAUAAGCUAGUUGGUGGGGUAAAGGCGUACCAAGGCGACGAUCAGUAGCUGGUCUGAGAGGAUGAUCAGCCACAUUGGGACUGAGACACGGCCCAAACUCCUACGGGAGGCAGCAGUGGGGAAUAUUGGACAAUGGGCGCAAGCCUGAUCCAGCCAUGCCGCGUGAGUGAUGAAGGCCUUAGGGUUGUAAAGCUCUUUCACCGAUGAAGAUAAUGACGGUAGUCGGAGAAGAAGCCCCGGCUAACUUCGUGCCAGCAGCCGCCGUAACAC